AUUGUACGCUGGCGGCAGGCCUAACACAUGCAAGUCGAGCGGAUGAAGGGAGCUUGCUCCUGGAUUCAGCGGCGGACGGGUGAGUAAUGCCUAGGAAUCUGCCUGGUAGUGGGGGAUAACGUCCGGAAACGGGCGCUAAUACCGCAUACGUCCUGAGGGAGAAAGUGGGGGAUCUUCGGACCUCACGCUAUCAGAUGAGCCUAGGUCGGAUUAGCUAGUUGGUGGGGUAAAGGCCUACCAAGGCGACGAUCCGUAACUAGUCUGAGAGGAUGAUCAGUCACACUGGAACUGAGACACGGUCCAGACUCCUACGGGAGGCAGCAGUGGGGAAUAUUGGACAAUGGGCGAAAGCCUGAUCCAGCCAUGCCGCGUGUGUGAAGAAGGUCUUCGGAUUGUAAAGCACUUUAAGUUGGGAGGAAGGGCAGUAAGUUAAUACCUUGCUGUUUUGACGUUACCAACAGAAUAAGCACCGGCUAACUUCGCG
rnacentral:rRNA from 1 species